GUCUGGUGGCCUAGUGGUUAGAGCGUCCGCCUCGGAUGCGGAGGUCGAGGGUUUAAUACCCGGUUGAGUCA